CNUAAGACAUGCAAGUCGAGCGAGAAAGCCCUUCGGGGUGAGUAGAGCGGCGGACGGGUGAGUAACGCGUAGGAAUCUACCCAGUAGUGGGGGACAACUAGUGGAAACGCUAGCUAAUACCGCAUACGCCCUACGGGGGAAAGCGGGGGACCUUCGGGCCUCGUGCUAUUGGAUGAGCCUGCGUGAGAUUAGCUUGUUGGUGAGGUAAUGGCUCACCAAGGCGACGAUCUUUAGCUGGUCUGAGAGGAUGAUCAGCCACACCGGGACUGAGACACGGCCCGGACUCCUACGGGAGGCAGCAGUCGGGAAUAUUGCGCAAUGGGCGGAAGCCUGACGCAGCCAUGCCGCGUGUGUGAAGAAGGCCCUAGGGUUGUAAAGCACUUUCAAUUGGGAGGAAAAGCUAAUGGUUAAUAACCGUUAGCCCUGACGUUACCUUUAGAAGAAGCACCGGCUAACUCCGUGCCAGCAGCCGCGGUAAUACGGAGGGUGCAAGCGUUAAUCGGAAUUACUGGGCGUAAAGCGCGCGUAGGCGGUUUUUUAAGUCGGAUGUGAAAGCCCCGGGCUCAACCUGGGAACUGCAUCCGAUACUGGAAGACUAGAAUGCGGGAGAGGGAGGUAGAAUUCCAUGUGUAGCAGUGAAAUGCGUAGAUAUAUGGAGGAAUACCAGUGGCGAAGGCGGCCUCCUGGCUCGACAUUGACGCUGAGGUGCGAAAGCGUGGGGAGCAAACGGGAUUAGAUACCCCGGUAGUCCACGCCGUAAACGAUGUCUACUAGCUGUAGGGGUACUUGAGACCUUUGUAGCGCAGCUAACGCAAUAAGUANACCGCC
rnacentral:rRNA from 1 species